rnacentral:rRNA from 1 species
UACGUAGGUGGCAAGCGUUGUCCGGAAUUAUUGGGCGUAAAGAGCUCGUAGGCGGUCCGUCGCGUCGAAUGUGAAAGCCCGGGGCUUAACCCCGGGUCUGCAUUCGAUACGGGCUAGCUAGAGUGUGGUAGGGGAGAUCGGAAUUCCUGGUGUAGCGGUGAAAUGCGCAGAUAUCAGGAGGAACACCGGUGGCGAAGGCGGAUCUCUGGGCCAUUACUGACGCUGAGGAGCGAAAGCGUGGGGAGCGAACAGG